rnacentral:rRNA from 1 species
UACGGAGGGGGCUAGCGUUGUUCGGAAUUACUGGGCGUAAAGCGCACGUAGGCGGAUCAGCCAGUCAGGGGUGAAAUCCCGGGGCUCAACCCCGGAACUGCCCUUGAUACUGCUGGUCUGGAGUUCGAGAGAGGCGAGUGGAAUUCCGAGUGUAGAGGUGAAAUUCGUAGAUAUUCGGAGGAACACCAGUGGCGAAGGCGGCUCGCUGGCUCGACACUGACGCUGAGUUGCGAAAGCGUGGGGAGCAAACAGGAUUAGAUACCCUGGUA